AGAUGGAUUUGUGCAAGGGAAGUGGUUAUUUUAAUAAGGAUUAUCUGAGUGAGCUCAGAAUAACCAGCUGCCUGUCUCCACAGGGAGCACUAUUUGACAUAAAUGAAGACAAGGACAAUGAUCAAGUCUGAAAGAGAGUUAAUUGAAAAGGAGUAGCCGACUCUGAUCUCCAGAUUGAGCUUCUGAGGAGGAUUUGGGGAAGCCAGAAAGAACAGAUCCCAGGUAGCUGUUGGUCCAAGGAAAACAAAAGAUGAGUGGAGCUGACCUGAAACUGACCUGCACUGUGAAGUGGAACUUGCCCAGGCUACUCUCAGGUCUAUAAGAAAACAAAUGAAUGUUGUUAAAAGAAAAUUUGGUGACCAGCCUUGUCCUGCAGAACAUUAUAGAAGAGGGAGCACCAAGGGAAUAGCACUGCUUGCCAUCAUCAGCAAAUCCAGACCUGAGUGUAUGUUUCUCCAAGUUCUGCCAGAAGCUCAGCGGGGAGAAGUGGUACUAAGGGGCCUACACUUUCCGUCUGCCUGUAGUUACUCCACAUUUAGUAUUGAAACAUGAAUUCUUACAUUCCAUAAAGGAAGCUAUAUUGGGAGAUUUUUCUUUUGUUUUUGUUUUUUGUUUUUUUUUCACCUGGCUUAUCUUUCUA
rnacentral:lncRNA from 1 species